rnacentral:rRNA from 1 species
ACAGAUGGUUUAUCAUACUACCAUCUGCCAGAGAAUUACAAGUGAAAAACUUAAAACUCUAAGGACUUGACGGUGCCCCACACCAGCCUAGAGGAGCCUGUCCUAUAAUCGAUACCCCACGCUCCACCUCACCCCCCCUUGCCAAACCCCGCCUAUAUACCGCCGUCGUCAGCCCACCUACUGAUAGCAACAAAAGUCAGCAUAAUAGCACCCCGCUAGCACGUCAGGUCAAGGUGUAGCUAAUGGGGGGGGACUAAGAUGGGCUACAUUUGCUAACCUCUAGCAAACCCACUGAGAGCCCCAUGAAACAAAGGGCCAGAAGGCGGAUUUAGCAGUAAACACCGGCAAGACCUGCCCACUUGAACACCGCUCUGGGGCGCGUACACACCG